CCUUCCAUUUCCUAAAAGACUUUUAAAAUGAAAAUCUUUGCUGAUUAACUCCUAGGAAUUCAUUGAUUGGCCCAAGAUGCAUCCAUAUCUACUGUUUUAGGUGAAUUAUACCAUUGGCAGAGAAACUAGAGCGAAGCCCACAGGUGUGCCUGACGGAACCAAGAUCGUGAAGAGUAGUCAAGAGCUCAUGUAUUACUUGUAUGAUAAAAGUAAAAAACAAAAGCAAACAGGUAAUCUGGUGAGCAGCUGAGACAGAAUGUCUGGGUUCCCAUUGAGUGGCUGAUGGAGGAUUGAAGAAGAAGAUGCUCUGGUCUCAAACCUAGAGGGGAUCUUCCUGACCCAGGGAUUGAACCCAAGUUUCCUGCAUUAGCAAGAGGAUUCUUUCACCACUGAGCCACCGGGUAGGAACUAAAUACUUUGUAUUUGUUGAA